rnacentral:rRNA from 1 species
GACGAACGCUGGCGGCGUGCUUAACACAUGCAAGUCGAACGGAAAGGCCCUGCUUUUGUGGGGUGCUCGAGUUGCGAACGGGUGAGUAACACUUGAGUAACCUGCCCUUGACUUUGGGAUAACUUCAUGAAACUGGGGCUAAUACCGGAUAGGAUCUCCUGCUGCAUGGUGGGGGUUGGAUAGUUUCGGCGGUUGGGGGUGGAAUCGCGGCUUAUCAGCUUGUUGGUGGGGUAGUGGCUUACCAAGGCUUGGACCGGUAGCCGUCCUGCGAGGGUGACCGGCCACGUUGGGACUGGGAUACGGCCCAGCCUCGAACGGGAGGCAAGGGAGGAGAAUAUUAUACAAUGGGAGGGAGCAUGAUGCAGCCCAGCCGCGUGCGGGAUGACGGCAUGCGGGUAGUAAAGCGAUGUCGCUUGAGACGAAGCGAGAGUGACGGUAACGGGUAAAGAAGCACCGGCUAACUCCGUG